rfam:Heterocephalus glaber contig157667, whole genome shotgun sequence.
GGAAGUAUAGCUCAGUGGUAGAGCACUUGUCUGGCAUUCAUGAGCCCUGUGUUCAAUCCCCAGCACCA